rnacentral:rRNA from 1 species
UACGAAGGGGGCUAGCGUUGCUCGGAAUCACUGGGCGUAAAGGGUGCGUAGGCGGGUCUUUAAGUCAGGGGUGAAAUCCUGGAGCUCAACUCCAGAACUGCCUUUGAUACUGAAGAUCUUGAGUUCGGGAGAGGUGAGUGGAACUGCGAGUGUAGAGGUGAAAUUCGUAGAUAUUCGCAAGAACACCAGUGGCGAAGGCGGCUCACUGGCCCGAUACUGACGCUGAGGCACGAAAGCUAAGGGGAGCAA